AAAUAGUCUUUUAAAAAUAUAUAUAGAGAUCAAAUGGGAAAGUUAAGCCAAAAAGUAUGUGAACAGGGAAAAACAAUAAAUGACUUUUAAAAUAGUUCUUUUUAGCUGUUAUUUUACAUUCUAGGGGAUGGGCAAAAUUCACUUCUUGGGUAAAUGGAGCUUUUGCUUGAGAAAGAAUAUAAAAGGUUGGCCUUUUGGUGUGGUCAAUUCAUAUGGAAGGAGGUUUGACAAUGAAAAUUAUGUUGCUCAGAAUAAUAGAAUUUCAGAGGUUGGACCUGAAGAGCUCAGGAAAGCGAUGGAGAAGGAAGUCUGAGCAAAAUGGCAGCAAGCAGGCCCUGAGAAGAAAAAAACAGAAAUUCCUUGUAUUGAAAAUGGCCAAAGAACUUUCAGACUGUUUUCCAAGGCUGCUGUGACGUUUUACAUUCUCGCCAGUACUGUGUGAGGGUUCCAGUUUUGCCAAGAAUCGCUAUUAUCUUUUUAUAAAGCCAACUAGGGGGCUCCACACCCAGCAAUGAGCUGAAAAACUCACAAC